UAUACUUAUAUAUAAUAUAUAUCAUUCUUACACAAAUUAUUUAGUGCAAUACGGUAAAGUCAUUUUAAAAGAUACGGAAUAUUUUCAUAGUUAUUUGAAAUGUAUAUUUAGGUAAAACUAUCAAAAUCGUUUAUUUACGAAUAUUCACUAUAUCCACAACGUAAUGCGUUUCAUGAUAUCCGUACCUUAUAUUCUGUCUUGUUGCACGUAUAUGUCUCUGUGUGAUUGUAUGUUAAAUUGUGUGUGAUUUCACAAAUGCUAGUCUAAUAUAAGACAUACAUAUAUAACAGGAACACAUGAAAGAAAAUUAGGUAAUUAAAAUGUGCAAGCUUAUUUUAUGGAGAAAUCGACCAAUACGACAUAUUUUGUGAGAGUUGGGAAAGUCCAAAGCAGUUGUUCGUUAGUACCAUUCGUUUCGGAGUACUUACCGUCAGCAAGCAGUCAACGAAUUUCUGCAGAUCCCUCAUUGCACUUCCAUGUAUUAUAAACCGUCUCCACACUAUUUCACUGAACUUACAUUACGGGCGGUCGAACGUAAACCCGUUUUAUUCGCUAGGUAUAUCUUCUGGUUACCGUAACGCGUUUAAAACUAAUAUUUGAGGUCUUAUAAAAUGCUAAAACGGUCGACACGAUAUUAUAAAUUACAGUUUCCAUGCACGAAUCGUAGCCGCAUAGAUCGGCCGUGUCACUUCAUAUUUGCGAAAAAAUUCUGUUUACAUUCGCCCAGAGGGACCAGGAAUAAA